rnacentral:rRNA from 1 species
CCUACGGGAGGCAGCAGUGAGGAAUAUUGGUCAAUGGCCGGAAGGCUGAACCAGCCAAGCCGCGUGAAGGACGACGGUGCCAAGCAUUGUAAACUUCUUUUGUCAAGGGACAAAAUCAGGCUCGAGAGCCUGUCCGAGGGUACUUGAUGAAUAAGCAUCGGCUAACUCCGUGCCAGCAGCCGCGGUAAUACGGAGGAUGCGAGCGUUAUCCGGAUUUAUUGGGUUUAAAGGGUGCGUAGGCGGGCUGUUAAGUCAGUGGUAAAAGCUCGGGGCUCAACCUCGGCGAGCCGGUGAGACUGACUGUCUUGAGAAGACGAGAGGUAGGCGGAAUGCGCAGUGUAGCGGUGAAAUGCUUAGAUAGUGCGCAGAACUCCGAUUGCGAAGGCAGCAUACCGGCGUCGAUCUGACGCUGAGGCACGAAAGCGUGGGUAUCGAACAGGAUUAGAUACCCGAGUAGUC